AACGCGUGGGAACGUGCCCAGAUCUAAGGAAUAGCCACUGGAAACGGUGAGUAAUACCUUAUACGCCCUUCGGGGGAAAGAUUUAUCGGAUUUGGAUCGGCCCGCGUUAGAUUAGGUAGUUGGUGGGGUAAUGGCCUACCAAGCCUACGAUCUAUAGCUGGUUUUAGAGGAUGAUCAGCAACACUGGGACUGAGACACGGCCCAGACUCCUACGGGAGGCAGCAGUGGGGAAUCUUGGACAAUGGGGGCAACCCUGAUCCAGCCAUGCCGCGUGAGUGAUGAAGGCCUUAGGGUCGUAAAGCUCUUUCGCCUGUGAUGAUAAUGACAGUAGCAGGUAAAGAAACCCCGGCUAACUCCGUGCCAGCAGCCGCGGUAAUACGGAGGGGGUUAGCGUUGUUCGGAAUUACUGGGCGUAAAGCGCGCGUAGGCGGAUUAGUCAGUUAGAGGUGAAAUCCCAGGGCUCAACCCUGGAACUGCCUUUAAUACUGCUAGUCUUGAGUUCGAGAGAGGUGAGUGGAAUUCCGAGUGUAGAGGUGAAAUUCGUAGAUAUUCGGAGGAACACCAGUG
rnacentral:rRNA from 1 species